GGAAUUACGCACGACUCCUCUGAGCUUGGGUGGAGCUCUGAAUAAUGUGAAAGAGGCGAAGAUUGGAAGGAAGUGUUUUGAGUAAAGGAGUCUGGAAGGGAGAAUGACAAAUAAGCAGUGAGGCUGAUUGGCUUAAAGAUGGAGGGCAGAGAGAUGAUUGGUACAGACCAGUGAUGUCAGCAAUGAGGUUGAUGGUAUGACAAAGUGGAAGUGAUGAAAAGCAAAUACUAGCCAGUGAACACCAAGGUAGUAAACAGAUGUAUAGUUACAGAUCUUCCUUAUUGAACUUACGCAUACGCUUCAUUAGUACUCAAUGCAAAUAACUUCUUCCAUGAUUAUCUCCGCACAAAGGAAAAACACAAGAGCAUAUCACCCAGGUGUCAGCGAGGAAUUCACAGGCAACAAACUGCAAAGGAGACAUAUUUUAAAUGUGAAAAUGAUUUUGAUCUAUGUGAUCAUCGUAGCUUUGGCAGUGACUGUUGUGGGACAAGGGUCUUCAGAAUGCAAUCUAACUGAACCUGGACCCCAGACGUGUUUUGGAGUUUUAGGAGAACCACUUGUUUUUUACAUACCUAACAAGCCACAUAUAAAGACAAGCUUGAAAAAGAGUCCAGAUAACAUUUUAACCUUAAAAAAUGAU